rnacentral:tRNA from 1 species
GCCUGGGUGGCUCAGUCGGUUGGGCGGCCGACUUCGGCUCAGGUCAUGAUCUCGCGCGGUCCGUGAGUUCGAGCCCCGCCUCGGGCU